rnacentral:rRNA from 1 species
ACAAAAAAUAACGAUACGGGACUCAUCCGAGGCCCCGUAAUCGGAAUGAGAACACUCUAAAUCCUUUAACUAGGAUCUAUUGGAGGGCAAGUCUGGUGCCAGCAGCCGCGGUAAUUCCAGCUCCAAUAGCGUAUAUUAAAGUUGUUGCGGUUAAAAAGCUCGUAGUUGGUUCUGCGUGCCACGCUGUCGGUUCACCGCCUGCCGGUGCAACUGGCAUGCCGUGGCAUGUCCUGUCGGUGGCGGACAGGCCUCGCGAGUGCCCUUCUGCGCGGUGUAGUCCACCGCGUAGAUUGACGCGCCGCGUCGUCCUUGUUCGCCGGCUCAAUCCUACCGCGGUGCUCUUUACCGAGUGUCGAGGUAGGCCGACAAUGUUUACUUUGAACAAAUUAGAGUGCUUAAAGCAGGCUAUUAAUUUUAGCUUGAAUAGUUGUGCAUGGAAUAAUGGAACAGGACCUUGGUUCUAUUUUGUUGGUUUUAAGAAACCAAGGUAAUGAUCAAUAAGGACAGGCGGGGGCAUACGUAUUGCGGCGUUAGAGGUGAAAUUCUUGGAUCGUCGCAAGACGCACUAGAGCGAAAGCAUUUGCCAAGUAUGUCUUAAUUGAUCAAGWWCGAAAGUUAGAGGUUMGAAGGSGWUCAGAURCCGCCCUAGUUCUAACCAUAAACGAUGUCAGCCAGCGAUCCGCAGAUGUUCCUCCGAUGACUCGGCGGGGAGCUUCCCCCGGGAAACCAAAGCUUUUGGGUUCCGGGGGAAGUAUGGUUGCAAAGCUGAAACUUAAAGGAAUUGACGGAAGGGCACCACCAGGAGUGGAGCCUGCGGCUUAAUUUGACUCAACACGGGAAACCUCACCAGGCCCGGACAUUAGAAGGAUUGACAGACCGAUAGCCCUUUCUCGAUUCAGUGGGUAGUGGUGCAUGGCCGUUCUU